rnacentral:misc_RNA from 1 species
CCAAACUUGGUCAUUUAGAGGAAGUAAAAGUCGUAACAAGGUUUCCGUAGGUGAACCUGCGGAAGGAUCAUUAACGUAUCUCUGACGGCGAGGGCGCGCCCAGCUCCGGACCGCAAGGCCGAGCAGCGGGCGCUCCCGAGCUGCUCAACCUUUUCAAACCCACUGUGCACCUUUGUCGGCGAAAGGGCCUUCCCCCACGGGGAGGUCCCGAGCCGGAUCACAAACACUGUCUUGAAAAGUAUGCAAAGCGGACGAUGUGCCGCCUAAACUAAAACAACUUUCAACAACGGAUCUCUUGGCUCUCGCAUCGAUGAAGAACGCAGC